rnacentral:rRNA from 1 species
GUGCACCAGGCGCGAAACCUCCGCAAUACACGAAAGUGUGACGGGGCCAUCCCGAGUGCCGUCCGCUGAGGACGGCUUUUUCCCCAGUGUACACAGCUGGGGGGAAUAAGGAGAGGGCAAGCCUGGUGUCAGCCGCCGCGGUAAUACCAGCUCUCCGAGUGGUGGGGACGCUUAUUGGGCCUAAAAGCAUCCGUAGCCGGCUGGGCAAGUCCUCCGUUAAAAUCCAACGAUUCAAAUCGUUGGGCUGCGGGGGAUACUGUCCAGCUUGGGGGCGGGAGAGGCCGACGGUAUUCCCGGGGUAGGGGUGAAAAUCCUAAUAAUCCCCGGGAGGACCACCAGCGGCGAAGGCUGUCGGCUAGAACGCGCCCGACGGUGAGGGAUGAAAAGCUGGGGGAGCGAACCGGAUUAGAUACCCG